UCUCUUUUCGAGUUAGCCUACACCCAAAGCCACUGUCAGGUGUCACAGGGAUGAAACUUCAGAAGUGGGCUGACCUUCUAAUCUACUCAAGCCAGGGUGAAUUGAUACCAACAGAGUAAGAAACCCCAGUAAAUGCUGAGGCCCAAGCUCUGCCCUCAUUCCUGUCUUCUGCCUCCUGGCCACCUGGUGAGCUUCCCUGUGGCUCUACACACUGUGCCCUGCCCUGCUGUGCCUCCUGUCUCUACCACUUGAGAGGCAGAGAGAGAUCUUAAGAGGCUCCAUACCCUGCACAAAGCCUGAUGCAGGGCUUGAUCUCAUGACUGUGAAAUCAUGACCUGAGCUGAUCAAGAGUCGAAUGCUUAACUUACUGAGCCACCCCUGUGCCCUCGGCAUUGUUUUAGAAUGGAUUUCAGGUUGUUUUUCUUCAUGAGUGAUUUCCUCACUCACCAUACAAUUAAUAUUUUCAGUUACUGGAAUUUCUCAAAGAUUUAAAUAAUUGAAAAAGUUAUUUUAAGAGACAUCUCCCAAAUUAGAGCUUUUCAGCUAUAUGUGUAGAGAGAAACUACAGUUUUGAUAAGUUUGCACAAUACUGAAUAUGUUAAAAAGUUACUCUGAGAGUUCUUUCUUAUUAAUUUUCACCUUGUAUUUUAGCACAUAUCUGGCUUCUUUUAUUGUGGCGUCUAGCAUUACUUUGCAUACAGCACUGCACUUCAAGAAUGCUUUAGCAUGUGUGGGUAUAUUUAAAAUUACCAUAUAAUGGUGUGGAGAGAAAUUCUUGCAGUAAUUGGAGAAAAACAUCUUGAAGCACCCAAAUUAUGUCGCUCCAACUGGCCUGCUUCUAAUCACCCCCAUUUUGAAAAACAGAGCUAAAAGAGGUUAAUAUCUUUGUUUUGUGAAAAUGUUUCUUUUUUUACUAAAAAAGAAAUUAGUACUUAAAAAUCUCAAUGCAGACUAGUAGAAGAGCAAACCAUUUCAAUACAAGUCCUUUAAUUUUCUGGUGUAUUUAUUCCUGUUUUUUUCCCAGACACUGGUGGGUGAUGGUUACUAUUUUCACAUGGCAGUGUCAUAUGCAUGUGACUUCUGACUGCAGGAACCCCUACACACACACACACACACACACACACACACACACACACACACGUACCCACGUGACCUGCAGAGUUCUUUCUAUCUAGUGUUCAUGUCCUAGGGAAUCUCUCCUUCCACCCCACCCUCCCUCCCCAUCCUCCCCUCCCAGUCACCUAGAAGAAUGUCUUCUGGGAGUGAAGGAAAUGGCUUAAGAAUUUCUAGACAACGGGUGUCUGGGUGGCAGUGGGUUAAGCGUCUGAUUCUUGAA